UACGGGGGGGGCAAGCGUUGUUCGGAAUUACUGGGCGUAAAGGGCGCGUAGGCGGUUGGAUAAGUCAGCCGUGAAAACCACGAGCUUAACUCGUGGCCUGCAGUUGAGACUGUCUGGCUUGAGUGUGGGAGAGGAGAGUGGAAUUCCUGGUGUAGCGGUGAAAUGCGUAGAUAUCAGGAGGAACACCGGUGGCGAAGGCGGCUCUCUGGACCACAACUGACGCUGAGGCGCGAAAGCUAGGGGAGCAAACAGG
rnacentral:rRNA from 1 species